rnacentral:rRNA from 1 species
GAUGAACGCUGGCGGCGUGCCUAAUACAUGCAAGUCGAGCGAACAGACGAGGAGCUUGCUGCUCUGACGUUAGCGGCGGACGGGUGAGUAACACGUGGAUAACCUACCUAUAAGACUGGGAUCACUUCGGGAAAGCGGAUCUAAUACCGUAUAAUAUAUUGAACCGCAUGGUUCAAUGGAGAAAGACGGUGUUGCUGGCACUUAUAGCUGGAUCCGCGCCGCAUUAGCUAGUUGGUAAGGUAACGGCUUAUCAAGGCAACGAUGCGUAGCCGACCUGAGAGGCGGGUCGGCCACACUGGAGCUGAGACGCGGACAAGGCUCCUAAGGGAGGCAGCAGUAGGGAAUCUUCCGCAGUAGGCGGAAGCCUGACGGAGCAACGCCGCGUGAGUGAUGAAGGUCUUCGGAUCGUAAAACUCUGUUAUUAGGGAUGAACAAAUGUGUAAGUAAAUAUGCACGUCUUGACGGUACCUAAUCAGAAAGCCACGGCUAACUACGUG